rnacentral:rRNA from 1 species
AUGCUGGUGUCCGGGAGAAGACGACUGCUCCUUCUGUACACAAGCUUUGUGGUUCUUUCGCUUCUCACGCUGCCGUCCGAUGGCUCGUCGAAUUCCACGGAGGAACUCAAUCAAAGCCGCAACAAGACCGGGCAUCCUCUCGAGCUGACGCCUAGAACAGCAUUUCAGCUCAAGCUACACGCAUUGUUCCACUGGUCUUCUUUCGGUCUCUUGAUGCCUGUAGGGAUACUGCUGGUCAGAAUGUCGAGCAAAUCAAAAAGCGGCAGAUGCAACAGAGUGCUCUUCUAUUGCCAUGUCAUUUCUCAGAUCGCAGCUGUACUUCUUGCUACUGGCGGCGCGGCUCUGUCCUUGAUGAACUUUGAGAACUCCUUCAGUAACAGUCACCAGAGAGUAGGAUUGGCAUUGUAUGGAUUCAUGUGGCUUCAGCCAAUCAUCGGUUUCUUCAGACCAGAAAGAGGUGUCAAGGGAAGGAGCCUGUGGUUCUUCUUCCACUGGCUUCUCGGCAUCGCAAUUUGCGCCACUGGCAUCGCAAACGUCUACUCUGGCCUCCGCACGUAUCAUGAGAGAACCGCCAAGAGCGUGAGCCUGUGGACCGGCCUCCUUACCGUUGAGAUCUCCUUCCUAGCUUUUUUCUACCUCUUGAUAGAUAGGUGGAGCUAUAUGAUCAAGCAAGGACGUCUCCCGGUCGAACAGCUAAGACCGAACGAUAAUCGCAGGACCUAUCCUACAACUCUUCGGAAAGAGCUGGUUAUGGUGCAAGAGUGA